AUGCUUGUUAAAUAUAUAAAUGGGUCCAAGAAAAUGGUCUUAAAGGAAAAGUAUCGCCAGGGGAAAAAAAGGCUUCAACGGCCAGGCACGCGAGGACAGGACGCAGCACGGGAAGCAGCCGGAACCGCUGUCCCAGCCCACCAGCCUCCCUCGGCCACGUCCCGCGUCACCUCGGAGUCCUGGCAAUUUCAUAAUUGGCCCAAUGGGUUACGAUUCAAAACCGAAAGAGCCAAUUAGCAGGAGUCUCCUCUGACCCCUGGUUUGGGGUGGGAGGAGACGAGGCAAUGACUUGAGACGGAAGGGGGGGAAAAACUAAACUAAAAAUAAAAACAGAAACUAUCAAGAGCA
rnacentral:lncRNA from 1 species